rnacentral:rRNA from 1 species
AAUGAACGUUGGCGGCAUGGAUUAGGCAUGCAAGUCGGGGGAAUCCCAGCAAUGGGGGAACCGGCGUAAGGGGCAGUAAGGCAUGGGUACCUACCUUGGGGUUCGGGAUAGCCAUCAGAGAUGGUGGGUAAUACCGGAUGACGUCGUGAGACCAAAGAUUUAUCGCCCUUAGAGGGGCCCAUGGGAUAUUAGCUAGUUGGGGGGGUAACGGCCCACCAAGGCGAAGAUGUCUAGCGGGUGUGAGAGCACGACCCGCGCCACUCGCACUGAGACACUGGCGAGACACCUACGGGUGGCUGCAGUCGAGGAUCUUCGGCAAUGAGCGCAAGCUUGACCGAGCGAUGCCGCGUGAGCGAUGAAGGCCUUCGGGUUGUAAAGCUCUUUAGUGGGGGAGAAAAGCCGCAAGGUGUGAUCUAUCCCAAAAAUAAGCACCGGCUAACUACGUGCCAGCCGCCGCCGUAA